GAUUCUGCAGAAGUUGGGGCUCCUGACAACUUUGGGGUGGCCAUGAGGGACGUACCUCUUGCCUCUGGAUGUGCAGGGUACAACUUGAGCUCUCAUCUACAUAACUGAAGGCUGCACCCAGGGCUGUAAAGAGUGAAAAUGCAUUGCCGAAGCAUGAGCACCUCCUGCAGUUCUCAGUAGACAUUUGGGAAGCGAGUGAACCGCCCUGUAUGGAGUGUUUGGAGGAGGUCGGAGGGUGUCGGGCCUGAGCCAGGGGCUGCCCUGGGCCUGUGUCGGGUGGCGCAUGCCAGAGGAAUGAGAUGGGAAGGGCAUGCACGCGGGGUCUUGGCAGCCCUGGAGCUGGCCUAGAUGCAGCAGCUUUCUGAUAAAGCGAAAUUGUUCCAUCGGCUUGCCAUGCUUUGCUUAGCCAUCCGCACUUCACUGUUGGGCGAAAGAAGAUUUUAAAGAACACCCUUAGCAGAUGUCAGAGUUUGGGAUUUGGGGUCCAUGAUACCCAAAUAAGAUUCCACUUGAAGAAAGUAACACGAAUUGCUUUCAACACAUCAAUCAACAAAGAGCAUUGAUGGAUGAAGAGGACAUUGAUAAAUGGGAUGUCUUUUUGCUGAAACUCUAACUUACAGUAAAGGGGGGAAACUCACAGAAGCCCAGUGGAAGCUUCUGGAGCCAGGAGCUACACUGACUCUCUCCGCAGAGGGUGUGGAGGGGUAGGCGGCAGUCAGCCCCCAGCCCAGAGUGGAGGGCACCUGGGCACAUGUGUGAUCAGAGCCCACAUGGAGGGAGGCCAGGGUCCAGCUUCCCUUCACUCUGGGAACAUGGGAGGCCCUGUCCCCAGGCCAUGGCACACAGAGGGAGGAGCAGGAGCUCUGGCAGCCUCAGAGGUGUGUGCCAGGCCGCAGCCUAUUGGAAAUUCCUCAGGAGUGCAUGGCCUGGGGUCCCCCAGCCUGCGGGAGGCAGAGG
ensembl:lncRNA novel transcript